rnacentral:rRNA from 1 species
GAUGAACGCUGGCGGCGUGCCUAAUACAUGCAAGUCGAGCGAAUGGAUUGAGAGCUUGCUCUUAUGAAGUUAGCGGCGGACGGGUGAGUAACACGUGGGUAACCUGCCCAUAAGACUGGGAUAUCUCCGGGAAACCGGGGCUAAUACCGGAUAACAUUUUGAACCGCAUGGUUCGAAAUUGAAAGGCGGCUUCGGCUGUCACUUAUGGAUGGACCCGCGGCGCAUUAGCUAGUUGGUGAGGUAACGGCUCACCAAGGCAACGAUGCGUAGCCGACCUGAGAGGGUGAUCGGCCACACUGGGACUGAGACACGGCCCAGACUCCUACGGGAGGCAGCAGUAGGGAAUCUUCCGCAAUGGACGAAAGUCUGACGGAGCAACGCCGCGUGAGUGAUGAAGGCUUUCGGGUCGUAAAACUCUGCUGUUAGGGAAGAACAAGUGCUAGUUGAAUAAGCUGGCACCUUGACGGUACCUAACCAGAAAGCCACGGCUAACUACGUGCCAGCAGCCGCAGUAA